rnacentral:rRNA from 1 species
GUGUCAGCCGCCGCGGUAAGACGAACCGUGCGAACGUUGUUCGGAAUCACUGGGCUUAAAGGGCGCGUAGGCGGUCUGCCAAGUCCGGGGUGAAAUCCUCCAGCUUAACUGGAGAAGUGCCUUGGAUACUGGUGGACUUGAGCGAGGCAGGGGUUGUGGGAACUUCCGGUGGAGCGGUGAAAUGCGUUGAUAUCGGAAGGAACGCCGGUGGCGAAAGCGCACAACUGGUCCUCUUCUGACGCUGAGGCGCGAAAGCCAGGGGAGCAAACGGGAUUAGAAACCCUCGUAGUCC